CAGUUUCAUUAAAAAAUAUGAGAUAGGAAAAUAUAGACAAGGGAUCUAGGGUACUGAUUAAUCAGGGAGGUCUCUCUAAGGAGCCAGCCAUGAUCUGUGGAUAAAGAAUUCCAAGCUGGUGCCUCUGAUAACACCAGCUAGUCUGAGAUAAGUGCAGGGUGUUCAAAGUUCAGAACUGAGGUAGUGUGGUUGGAGAGAAGUCGAUGAGCAAGGAGAGUAGGGUAGAAAAUAAGGUUGGAUGUGUCUAGAUCAUGAUGGAUGACAGAACUCAAGGAGAUUUUUAAUGUGUUAUAAAUGUGGAAAACCAUUUCAGGAUUUUAUGCAGGGAAAUGAAAGAACCUGUUUAUCUAUUAAAAAGACAAUUUGGCUGGUGAAUGGAGAAAGGGGGAAAAUCAUCUGUGAGUACGAGGUCAAGAAGUGACCAUUGGUCUUAGCAACGUGAAAAUCACUGUGACCUUGGCAAGAGCUUGGCAAGAGCCUUUUUCCCAGAAGAAGCAACAAAUGAAUUUCCAUAGUUGUUGGUCAAAGAGAAAAUACAAGAUGAGGAAGUAGAAUCCAAGAACUACAUCUUUGUCUGCCAUAUCAUGAGAACACCUGUGCAGCCCAUGGAAAGGUACCUGCAGAAGAAACAAAGAUGUCCACACAAUAGCCCGGGACACAAGUGAUCCUGAAAGUGGAUCUUCCGGCCCCAGAUGACUGCAGCCCAGCCAACGACUUCCCUGCAACCUUAAGAGAAACAACACCCAGCUAUGUGGCUCCUGGAUUUGUAACACCUGGAACCAGAAGAAAAGAAGACCUGGCUGGUGAAAAGAGACCUAAGAUUCUCCCUCUAAGAAGCGUCCUAUCUAAAAAAUCAUUGCCAAGACCACUGUCAAGAAGCUUUUCUCCUAUGUUUCCUUUUAGGAGUUUUAUGGUCUUAGGAUUUACCGCUAGGCCUUUAAUCCACUUUUGAGCUGACCUCUACGAAGUGAGAAUGGCUCAGAGGAAUACUUCCUUUCCACAUACAGAAGCAGUGACAGAACACCAAAAUGGCACUUGCGGAAACUGAGGCUUUGAAAAAUUAAGUCACUGGCCACACAAAGAAGUCACUGCAUCAAGGAUGAUGCUGGUAUAAUGGGUUUAAAGAAGAACUUGGAUAAGGAGAGGAAAGAAAAUACUGGAGAAAGAUAAAGAACAUAACAACCCUCCAUAUCUACAGCUACCAGAAAUAACCUGUGUUUAACUUUCAGUGUGUAUCCUUAUGGUCAUAUAAAUAUGUAUAUAUAUUUUGUUAAAGUCAGAAUUAAAAUUUUGUAAAUUGUAACAAAUGGAAUUGAGUUUUUAACUAACCACAGUUACACAAAUAGAAGUCUGUUGUGGAUUUUAUUUCCCACAAAACUUUGUUUUUGUUAAAUAAUUCCCCAAAUGUUCAUUUUUUCUGUCUAAGGCACAGUGAUACUUUACAAGUUUUUAAAUGGAUUUUGUAUGAGUCAAAUAUUUCAUGUGUAUCAUCGCGCACAUACCAUCCAAACCCUUGGAUUGUUCCAAAGGUACAUAAAGAGAAAUCACAGUAAUUUCGAGAAUGCCUUACUCAGAAAUCCAUACAUGAACAGUUCAACUGACAAGACCCCAGUCAGUCUAUUCUGCUCUUAAGCUUAUUACUUUGGGACUCUCAAUGCUCAAUAUGGUUGAAGAGCAGCUAAUAAGCUAGCAAUUAUCUACCACCUAUAAUUUCCAAAGAAAGAACUGUGUUAGAAACAAAGUAUAGCCAUAGUCCCUAUAACCAAAAAAGGAAUGACUCCUCAUCUUGUCAUAGUUUUAGAGAGGUCUCUAAGGAGAAUUCGUCCAUACCCUAUCUCCUUUGUGACACUCAAUUAAUUAAACCAUCCAGAAAUGAUCUGUUUAACUUUCAGGUGUUCCCAGAUCUGACUCAAGUUAUUUCCAUUCCCUCCAUGUCUGUGUAUAGAGCUGUACAUCAUUUCUAAUCCCCCCCUUUUUUACUAAUAAUUUUUAUUAGUUGAGCAGUAGGUUCUUAGCACGUGCUUAACACUCUUAAAAUAUUUUCUUAAAUAUUUAAUCUUUACAUUUAGGUCUUGAGAUUGCUGUUUCUGGUUAGUAGCUAUUUGCCUUCAAAAUCCCAUCCUUAUCUUUUCCCUGGGCACAUAAACUCCCUGUUUGAGAUUAUAUUUCUCAGCGUUUCAUGCUUUUAUGCUCACAUCCCAUUGCUGAGGACUUAGUCACAUGACCAAUGGGCUGUGAGGGAAAGAGCCAAACCUCUGCCAGUCAGACUUUCUUAAAAUUGCUCAUCCUGGAGUUCGUCCUUCCUCCCUCCAUGCAGGCUGCCUGGAUUUACUGAGACUCAGCUUUGUCCUUGUGAGUGUGGACCAUGUCCUAUGGAAUGACCCAGCAGCAAGAUGGAAGGUAUCCACGAUCCUCAGUGGCUUGGAGGAGCAACACUGCCCACCUUAAAACAUUUUAGGAGAAGCAGAGAAACAAACCUCUAAUUUAAGCCAUUGUCUUUUUAAAAACAUAUUUUGUGAUUGCUUUCUUUCAGCAGCUUAGCUCUUACCUCAGCUCAUACAGAAUUACUGGCUUCAUUUUACAGAUCAAGAAAAGUGAAGUUCAUGGAGGUAAGUCACUCAUGUCACGACUUUUCCAGCUUCCCCAUCUUCCUCAGCAGCAAGUAGGCCCAGGACUGGAGAACACUCAGCCCGUACAGGAUCCAAGUCGAAACUGUCUUUAAUCUCUCCAUUUCUGGAUCUCAAAUGAGCACCCUUCUGUUUAACAGUUCUCCUCAAGAGGUCUGCUUUCUCCAAACAGCCUGUCCCCAUUGUAAGAAGUUCCAGAAGGGGCUCGCAGGGUCGAGGGUUAUGUGGCGUCACCUCAGCUCACCUCAACACCUCUGACAAAGGACAGCGGAAGAAAGGAUUCUUUCUGUGUGAAUUCUCGUCAGUCUUUGCCUCUUAAGGAGUAUAUUAUUCCUUACAAAAGAAACCCAUCAUCUUGUUCUACAAAUAAAUAUAAUUAUUACUAAAUUUGUGUUCUGCUGACCAAAU